rnacentral:rRNA from 1 species
GAUGAACGCUGGCGGCGUGCCUAAUACAUGCAAGUCGAGCGAACGGACGAGAAGCUUGCUUCUCUAAUGUUAGCGGCGGACGGGUGAGUAACACGUGGAUAACCUACCUAUAAGACUGGGAUAACUACGGGAAACCGUAGCUAAUACCGGAUAAUAUUUUGAACCGCAUGGUUCAAAAGUGAAAGACGGUCUUGCUGUCACUUAUAGAUGGAUCCGCGCUGCAUUAGCUAGUUGGUAAGGUAACGGCCUACCAAGGCGACGAUGCAUAGCCGACCUGAGAGGAUGAUCAGCCACACUGGAACUGAGACACGGUCCAGACUCCUACGGGAGGCAGCAGUAGGGAAUCUUCGGCAAUGGGCGAAAGCCUGACGGAGCCACGCCGCGUGAGUGAUGAAGGUCUUCGGAUCGUAAAGCUCUGUUAUUAGGGAAGAACAUAUGUGUAAGUAACUGUGCACAUCUUGACGGUACCUAAUCAAAAAGCCACGGCUAACUACGUG